rfam:Gossypium hirsutum cultivar TM-1 chromosome 16, whole genome shotgun sequence
UGUUAAAAUUUUCAUUUAUUUUUAUUGUUAAAAACUGAUAUGAUUGAUAGAAUAACCAAAUAAUUACAUAUGAUGUGUCGUGUAUUUCUCAUGUUAACAUAUACAAAUUAGUUUUUAAUAGUAAAAUAAAUAAAAAAUUUAAUA